rnacentral:rRNA from 1 species
UGCAGCACUAAGGGGCGGAACCCCCUAACACUUAGCACUCAUCGUUUACGGCGUGGACUACCAGGGUAUCUAAUCCUGUUCGCUCCCCACGCUUUCGCUCCUCAGCGUCAGUUACAGACCAGAGAGUCGCCUUCGCCACUGGUGUUCCUCCACAUCUCUACGCAUUUCACCGCUACACGUGGAAUUCCACUCUCCUCUUCUGCACUCAAGUUUCCCAGUUUCCAAUGACCCUCCCCGGUUGAGCCGGGGGCUUUCACAUCAGACUUAAGAGACCGCCUGCGAGCCCUUUACGCCCAAUAAUUCCGGACAACGCUUGCCACCUACGUAUUACCGCGGCUGCUGGCACGUAGUUAGCCGUGGCUUUCUGGUUAGGUACCGUCAAGGUGCAAGCAGUUACUCUUGCACUUGUUCUUCCCUAACAACAGAGCUUUACGUUCCGRAAACCUUCAUCACUCACGCGGCGUUGCUCCGUCAGACUUUCGUCCAUU